AACUGCGGAGGAUCAUUG
rnacentral:rRNA from 1 species